rnacentral:misc_RNA from 1 species
GAUGAAGAACGUAGCGAAAUGCGAUAAGUAGUGUGAAUUGCAGAAUUCAGUGAAUCAUCGAAUCUUUGAACGCACAUUGCGCCCCUUGGUAUUCCAUGGGGCAUGCCUGUUCGAGCGUCAUUUGUACCUUCAAGCUCUGCUUGGUGUUGGGUGUUUGUCCUUGCUCUAGUGGCGGAACUCGCCUUAAAGUAAUUGGCAGCCAGUGUUUUGGUUUUGAAGCGCAGCACAAGUCGCGAUUCAAGUCUAUACGCUAGUUUCCACAAGUCUUUUAUCACUUUUGACCUCGGAUCAGGUAGGGAUACCCGCUGAACUUAAGCAUAUCAAUAAGCGGAGGA